GCAGCAACAAAAUCAUGACAGUGACAGUUGGGUCAAAGGUGUCUUCUACUAGCUCAAAGAUGCUUGAUGGAGAGAGAGCACCGGACCAUUUACUCUCCUGCCAGGGGUGGAUCAGGGAUGUCGGGAUGUGUUCUGGUGCAGCUUUUGCAUGGAGAUCUCCACGGAGUGACAGGAAGGCCGAGCUGCACACCAGGCCUCCCCUUCUCGGACGCAGCCCCUGCUUUUACAGAGAUCUCUAUGACGCAGGACAACAACAGGAUAAUUGGGAGGAGCCCCAAUGAGGAUCUGAUACUGAUGGUGUCACAGAAGCCAGAGAUCUCAAACCGGACCAGGGACUCACUGCAAUGAACAUUUGCAAGGACGGGAAGAUGGAGAGAGGGAUAGAGUGGGACAUGCUGUGAUACACUACACAAUGAGAUGCUUUUUAAUGCUUUGUUCUUGUUUUGUGUGUUCAUUUUGGGGAGAGGUUGCAAGGGUGAAGGCUGGGUAAGUGGGAGCAGGGAGGUAAGCAGGA
rnacentral:lncRNA from 1 species